CAGUCGCCGCGGUAAUACGUAGAUGGCAAGCGUUGUCCGGAAUUAUUGGGCGUAAAGCGCGCGCAGGUGGUUUAAUAAGUCUGAUGUGAAAGCCCACGGCUCAACCGUGGAGGGUCAUUGGAAACUGUUAAACUUGAGUGCAGGAGAGAAAAGUGGAAUUCCUAGUGUAGCGGUGAAAUGCGUAGAGAUUAGGAGGAACACCAGUGGCGAAGGCGGCUUUUUGGCCUGUAACUGACACUGAGGCGCGAAAGCGUGGGGAGCAAACAGGAUUAGAGACCCCGGUAGUCCCUGUCUCUUAUAC
rnacentral:rRNA from 1 species